rnacentral:rRNA from 1 species
GACAGAGGGUGCAAACGUUGUUCGGAUUUACUGGGCGUAAAGCGCGUGUAGGCGGCCUUGCAAGUCGGAUGUGAAAGCCCACGGCUCAACCGUGGAAGUGCAUCCGAAACUGCAUAGCUUGAGUCUCGGAGAGGAAGGUGGAAUGCUUGGUGUAGAGGUGAAAUUCGUAGAUAUCAAGCAGAACACCUGCGGCGAAAGGCGGCCUUCUGGACGAUGACUGACGCUGAGACGCGAAAGCGUGGGGAGCAAACAGG